UCGGGAAUUUUGAACAAGAGAAAACCCCGGUACGUGUACUGGGUUGAUAGUAUUGUUAGAAUAAGCAUCGGCUAACUUCGUGCCAGCAGCCGCGGUAAGACGAAGGAUGCAAGCGUUAUCCGGAUUCAUUGGGUUUAAAGGGUGCGUAGGCUGACUGAUAAGUCAGUGGUGAAAUCUCUCGGCUUAACCGAGAAACUGCCAUUGAUACUGUUAGUCUAGAGUACAGAUGAUGUGGGCGGAAUAUGGCAUGUAGUGGUGAAAUACUUAGAUAUGUCAUAGAACACCGAUUGCGAAGGCAGCUCACAAAACUGUAACUGACGCUGAGGCGCGAAAGUGCGGGGAUCAAACAGGAUUAGAUACCCACGUAGUCCCUGAGCGGGCUGGCAAGGCGCAU
rnacentral:rRNA from 1 species